UACGGGGGGGAGCAAGCGUUGUUCGGAUUUACUGGGCGUAAAGGGCGCGUAGGCGGGCCAUCAAGUCCGGGGUGAAAUCUUUCGGCUUAACCGGAAAAUUGCCUUGGAUACUGGUGGUCUUGAGGGAAGUAGGGGUCUGCGGAAUUCCCGGUGUAGUGGUGAAAUGUGUAGAGAUCGGGAGGAACACCGGUGGCGAAGGCGGCCUUCUGGACGGUGACUGACGCUGAGGCGCGAAAGCGUGGGGAGCAAACGGG
rnacentral:rRNA from 1 species